rnacentral:rRNA from 1 species
CUACGUGCCAGCAGCCGCGGUAAUACGUAGGGUGCGAGCGUUAAUCGGAAUUACUGGGCGUAAAGCGAGCGCAGACGGUCACUUAAGCAGGAUGUGAAAUCCCCGGGCUCAACCUGGGAACUGCGUUCUGAACUGGGUGACUAGAGUGUGUCAGAGGGAGGUAGAAUUCCACGUGUAGCAGUGAAAUGCGUAGAGAUGUGGAGGAAUACCGAUGGCGAAGGCGGCUUUCUGGAUUGUAACUGACACUGAGGCACGAAAGCGUGGGUAGCAAACAGGAUUAGAUACCCUGGUAGUCCACGCCGUAAACGAUGAGCACUAGGUGUCGGGACAUGAGUCUCGGUGCCGCAGUUAACGCAAUAAGUGCUCCGCCUGGGGAGUACGCACGCAAGUGUAAAACUCAAAGGAAUUGACGGGGACCCGCACAAGCAGCGGAGCAUGUGGUUUAAUUCGAAGCAACGCGAAGAACCUUACCAAGACUUGACAUCCC